CCGAGUUAGGGUCUUCUAGGCCCGACCUCCCAACCCUUUGUUUACCAAACCUAUGUUGCUUCGGCGGGCCCGUCUUUAUUGACCGCCGGAGGACUGUCCGUUAUAGGCGUCCUCUGGCCCGUGCUCGUCGAUGGCCCAACCCCUAAAACUCUGUAUAAAUCGUGUCAUGAUUGUCUGAGUACAGUGAUUUGAAUUAAAUAA
rnacentral:misc_RNA from 1 species